GGUCCGCUGGCUCAAUUGGAAGAGCGUCUGACUACGAAUCAGGAGGUUCCAGGUUCGAGCCCUGGGUGGAUCG